rnacentral:tRNA from 1 species
CUGGGUGUAGCCCAGCUGGUAGGGCGCGUGGCCUGGGCCCACGAGGUCGGGGGUUCGAAUCCCCCCACUCAGA